rnacentral:tRNA from 1 species
GCCUGGGUGGCUCAGUCGGUUGAGCAUCUGACUUCGGCUCAGGUCAUGAUCUCACAGCUCGUGAGUUCGGGCCCCGUAUCAGGCU